rnacentral:sRNA from 20 species
CGGGACUCCUGAGAAGGAUCCUGUAGGCCGCAGCCCCACCCACGGGUGGGGCUGACGUGCG